AGCGAACGCUGGCGGCGUGCUUAACACAUGCAAGUCGAGUGCGCGGUUCGUAGCAAUACGAACUGGCGCACGGCGCACGGGUGAGGAACACGUGGGCAACAUGCCCUCCGAUGGGGAAUAACCCGCCGAAAGGCGGGCUAAUACCGCAUACGAUUCCGGGGACCUCGGUUCCUGGACUGAAAGCCCGCAAGGGCGUCGGUGGAGUGGCCCGCGGCCGAUUAGCUUGUUGGCGGGGUAACGGCCCACCAAGGCAAUGAUCGGUAGCCGGUCCUGAGAGGAUGAUC
rnacentral:rRNA from 1 species